CUGUUGGCACUCCAAUUUUGUGCUUGAAACAGUAUAUCGCACCAUUUACCCAGUUUUUUCUUGGUAUGUGUUUGGGUUCUCUCCAUUUGGAUGAAAACGUUAUUUUGUAGGAAUUGGUUAGUAGUUUAGAAUCUUGUUAUGCUUUCACAAUUGCAGUUGGACUAUUUUGCAUGGCUUUCUUUGCUAUGAGAGAUGAAUGUUGUGACAUUAAGAUAAUGCUCUUGUCAAACAGUGCUGUAUACAUGGGAUUUAUAUA